UAGCAACAUGGCUGUUAAGCGAAUCUGGUUUCUCCCGUUGACUUUGCUUGGUAGAAAGAUAAUCACGUGACCAGCAACGGUCGAAUUAAUUGAGUCCAGGAAAUGUCUCUACACGUUCCAUCAAACUGGAAUUUGGCCUCUUAAAAAAAGGACAGGCAUCAACAGACUGCCUGUCCUUUCAAGCACAGUUCUGCGGGAUCCACUCAGAGUCAAAACAAGCCGGUUUUCUUGUGACUAAAUAAAGACUCGAAUGACACGAAAAUCCAAGGUAUGCUUCUUUUGAGGUGGGGAAAGAAAAAAGAAAAAGAAAAAGAAAGGGGGGGGGAAACUACU